UGGGGAAUCUUGGACAAUGGGGGAAACCCUGAUCCAGCCAUGCCGCGUGAGUGAUGAAGGCCCUAGGGUUGUAAAACUCUUUCGGCGGGGACGAUAAUGACGGUACCCGCAGAAGAAGCUCCGGCUAACUUCGUGCCAGCAGCCGCGGUAAUACGAAGGGGGCUAGCGUUGUUCGGAAUUACUGGGCGUAAAGCGCGCGCAGGCGGUCCUUUAAGUCAGGGGUGAAAGCCCAGAGCUCAACUCUGGAAUUGCCUUUGAAACUAGAGGACUUGGGUACGGGAGAGGUGAGUGGAAUUCCGAGUGUAGAGGUGAAAUUCGUAGAUAUUCGGAAGAACACCAGUGGCGAAGGCGGCUCACUGGCCCGUUACCGACGCUCAGGCGCGACAGCGUGGGGAGCAAACAGG
rnacentral:rRNA from 1 species